rnacentral:rRNA from 1 species
GGUUUCCGUAGGUGAACCUGCGGAAGGAUCAUUAAUGAUUGACCCUCUGGGUCUUAUCUUAACAUCCCUCACCUCUGUGAACCGUUUGACCUCCGGGUCUUACAAAAACCAUAACAAACAUCAGUGUAAAGAACGUCUUGUUAUCUUAACAAAAACAAAACUCUCAACAACGGAUCUCUUGGCUCUCGCAUCGAUGAAGAACGCAGCGAAAUGCGAUAAGUAAUGUGAAUUGCAGAAUUCAGUGAAUCAUCGAAUCUUUGAACGCACCUUGCGCCUUUUGGUAUUCCGAAAGGCAUGCCUGUUUGAGUGUCAUGAAAUCUCAAUCCCAUCUGGUUUAUGACCGGGUGUUGGACUUGGACAUGGGCGUCUGCCGGUCAAACGGCUCGCCUCAAAUGACUUAGUGGGAUCGCUUGCAUCCGUGACAGACGUAAUAAGUUUCGUCUUGUCCCUUGCUCUGCGUACGCCUGCUCAGAACCAAGCUGUCUUGCCUUCAUUGGCCUGACGCACUUUUUUUUGACUCUGACCUCAAAUCAGGUAGGACUACCCGCUGAACU